rnacentral:rRNA from 1 species
AGUCCUACGGGAGGCAGCAGUGGGGAAUAUUGCACAAUGGGGGAAACCCUGAUGCAGCAACGCCGCGUGAGUGAUGACGGCCUUCGGGUUGUAAAGCUCUGUCUUCAGGGACGAUAAUGACGGUACCUGAGGAGGAAGCCACGGCUAACUACGGGCCAGCAGACGCGGUAAUACGUAGGGGGCGAGCGUUGUCCGGAUUUACUGGGCGUAAAGGGAGCGUAGGAGGACUUUUAAGUGAGAUGUGAAAUACUCGGGCUCAACUUGAGUGCUGCAUUUCAAACUGGAAGACUAGAGUGCAGGGGAGG